rnacentral:rRNA from 1 species
GACGAACGCUGGCGGCGUGCUUAACACAUGCAAGUCGAGCGGUAAGGCCCUUUCGGGGUACGACGAGCGGCGAACGGGUGAGUAACACGUGGGUGACCUGCCCUCCAGCUCUGGGAGUAAGCCUGGGAAACCGGGUACUAAUACCGGAUAUGACUCCAUGACGCAUGUUGUGGGGUGGAAAGCCUUGUGCGGCUGAGGAUGGGCCCGCGGCCUAUCAGCUUGUUGGUGGGGUGAUGGCCUACCAAGGCGACGACGGGUAGCCGGCCUGAGAGGGCGACCGGCCACACUGGGACUGAGACACGGCCCAGACUCCUACGGGAGGCAGCAGUGGGGAAUCUUGCGCAAUGGGCGAAAGCCUGACGCAGCGACGCCGCGUGAGGGAUGACGGCCUGG